rnacentral:lncRNA from 1 species
AAAUACAUUUUACUGGUAAUUGACCAGGGUGUCGAUAUCAAUGAUAUUUUACCUAUAAUGAAAAGAAAUUAUUCGUACAAAUUCGGUGACUAGUUUUCAAUACAAAAACAUGCUUAUGAACUCACCAGCUUUAUGUUGAUACGUUUUCAAAACUGUGACAACCGUCAAUUUUCGGUCAAGUCGAAGUCAACUAAAGUCAACAAGUCAAACCGGUCAACUCAAUUUGCCGUGAGUACUAGAGUUUACGUUAUGUACUUUCUAAACAACUCUCUAUUCUAAUGAGAGAUCAUAAGUCGAAAAGUGCGUUCACCUAGAUCUCCUUAACCUAAAACGGUGGUACGUGGAGAGCCAAACCGAUAAAACAAUGUUACAUACUCAUCGGGAGUAUGCAAGAUCCUUAAACAAGGCUUAACGGGGUUUACGGACCUUGCAGUGCGUAGCCGGACACUCAAAAAGGUCACCAAUGAAACCUCUCUCAAUCGUUUUCACUCCAUUUCUUCGUAUCAGAAAUCUCUCCCAAAUCUCUCUAAGUAUGUGAAAUCUCUCCCACAUAUCUCUUUGUAUGAGAAAUCUCUCCAAGAGUGUCAAAUCUCUCCCAAAUCUCUCUAAGUAUGAGAAAUCUCUCCCACAUAUCUCUUUGUAUGUGAAAUCUCUCCAAGUAUGUCAAAUCUCUCCCAAAUCUCUCUAAGUAUGUGAAAUCUCUCCCAAAUAUCUCUCUCUAUGUGAAAUCUCUCCAAGUAUGUCAAAUCUCUCCCAAAUCUCCCUAAGUAUGUGAAAUCUCUCCCAAAUAUCUCUCUGUAUGUGAAAUCUCUCCAAGUAUGUCAAAUCUCUCCCAAAUCUCUCUAAGUAUGUGAAAUCUCUCCCAAAUCUCUCUCUGUAUGUGAAAUCUCUCCAAGUAUGUCAAAUCUCUCCCAAAUCUCCCUAAGUAUGUGAAAUCUCUCCCAAAUCUCUCUCCGUAUGUGAAAUCUCUCCAAGUAUGUCAAAUCUCUCCCAAAUCUCCCUAAGUAUGUGAAAUCUCUCCCAAAUCUCUCUCCGUAUGUGAAAUCUCUCCAAGAAUGUCAAAUCUCUCCCAAAUCUCCCUAAGUAUGUGAAAUCUCUCCCAAAUCUCUCUCCGUAUGUGAAAUCUCUCCAAGAAUGUCAAAUCUCUCCCAAAUCUCCCUAAGUAUGUGAAAUCUCUCCCAAAUCUCUCUCCGUAUGUGAAAUCUCUCCAAGAAUGUCAAAUCUCUCCCAAAUCUCCCUAAGUAUGUGAAAUCUCUCCCAAAUCUCUCUCCGUAUGCCAAAUCUCUCCAAGAAUGUCAAAUCUCUCCCAAAUCUCCCUAAGUAUGUGAAAUCUCUCCCAAAUCUCUCUCCGUAUGGGAAACCUCUCCAAGAAUGUCAAAUCUCUCCCAAAUCUCUCUAAGUAUGAGAAAUCUCUCCCACAUAUCUCUCUGUAUGUGAAAUCUCUCCAAGAAUGUCAAAUCUCUCCCAAAUCUCUCUAAGUAUGUGAAAUCUCUCCCACAUAUCUCUCUGUAUGUGAAAUCUCUCCAAGAAUGUCAAAUCUCUCCCAAAUCUCUCUAAGUAUGAGAAAUCUCUCCCACAUAUCUCUCUGUAUGUGAAAUCUCUCCAAGAAUGUCAAAUCUCUCCCAAAUCUCUCUAAGUAUGUGAAAUCUCUCCCACAUAUCUCUCUGUAUGUGAAAUCUCUCCAAGAAUGUCAAAUCUCUCCCAAAUCUCUCUAAGUAUGUGAAAUCUCUC